GGUCCCGUGGCAGAUCGGUUAUGUAAGGGACUGCAAAUCCCUCUAGCCCGGUUCGACUCCGGGCGGGACCUCCA
rnacentral:tRNA from 2 species